GUGGCCGGUUGCACGCCGCUUAUAUAAGCCCGACCUGGUAAAAUUCCACAAAGCCGGCGCCUCUCUCCUCCACGUUCCUCCAAGUGUUCACGCUCUAAAGCGUCACACAAUUUUCUCACUGUUUCUCGCUCUUGGGAUGUUUUUACAGCUGCUUUUACAACAGUGGGGGCUGCCUCACAUCAAAUGCGACUGUGCCUUUAAGAGAUCCACGCCGUCUUCGAAUACACUGCGUGCCAUUGUUUUCGGUGGGCCCGAGCCCCGAGUGGACGAGGGAAGCCUCUGUGGCCACUGAGGGACGGGAAAUCUCUUCAUUUAAUUUAUGUGCAUUAUUUUCACUUGCAGUGCAACGGAAAUAGGAACACUUGUGAAACUUCAAAAUUGAAAUAGAAAAACGCAGCAGGAAAGAAAACUGAGAUUACGCAUUGAUGAGUCACAGAUGAGACGGAUGAGAACUACUGUAUCAGUUUGCUUUGCCUUGUAAGACAAAACCACCACUUAAAGAGGUAUAUACACAUAUGGCGCAGAAUCAAAGUGUCACAUGUCCACCUCUGCUCGAUCACUUAUCCAUCCAUCCAUCCAUGAAUUCCAAGUGCACCGAGCGUAUCGUCAACAAAGAGGUCGAGAUCUGAUGGGCCCGUCCGGGGGGGGAUGCAAUGCAUUUGUUCUGUCUGGAAACGGAGCUGACAAUUGAGUGAGCAAUAUCGCAGCUGUGCAUUUCGCCAGGUUUUUUCCAUGUUUCCACUAUCAACCGCGAGAAUCAUAUCACACGCCUCGCCCUGGUGCACGAGGACAUUGCGUCUGAGAGUGUGCAUGUCAAACAAGGACAAAUGUAGCCAACUUGAAUCACUGCACCGAUCUAAGAAAUGAUGUAAUUUCCACCUCUUUUGCAUGUCUAUAGAUUAGUCUACAGGUCAGUACACAGGCAGGAGAAGCAACUCUGAAAAGCGACUUUACUGUAGCUUAAUUUAGAUUGGAAGCUGUUUCGUAGUAAUUACUACGAAACAGCUUCCAAUCGGUUCUGUGUUGAAUUUGCAAUUAUUAAUACUUGCAGGAAGUGACGGCGAAGAAGAGCAAAGGGAAGUGUACAAAGGAAAUGGACAGUGAGAUGAGUGACCAGGAAGUGAAGAAUAAGAAAACAGGGAAAGGGAAAAGAACCAAGCAAACGCUAAUGAGACCAGUGAGCAUUGAGCAGGAAGAGAACCAACAAGAAGGGGCAGGAGUACACUGACGCGCACGACCAAGACCACAGCAUUCCAUUUCUAUUGUAUUAUAAUUAUCACUAAUAAAGAAUUAUUGUUGAAUUUUC